rnacentral:rRNA from 1 species
AUCGAUGAAGAACGCAGCGAAAUGCGAUAAGUAAUGUGAAUUGCAGAAUUCAGUGGAUCAUCGAAUCUUUGAACGCACAUUGCGCCCGCCAGUAUUCUGGCGGGCAUGCCUGUCCGAGCGU